GAUGAACGCUAGCGACAGGCCUAACACAUGCAAGUCGAGGGGCAGCAUGAAAUUAGCUUGCUAAUUUUGAUGGCGACCGGCGCACGGGUGAGUAACACGUAUGCAACCUGCCUGUAAGCGGGGGAUAACCCGGAGAAAUUCGGACUAAUACCGCAUAAUAUCAUUGAUUCGCAUGUUUUAAUGAUUAAAAAUUUAUUGAUUACAGAUGGGCAUGCGUAUGAUUAGCUAGUUGGCAGGGUAACGGCCCACCAAGGCGACGAUCAUUAGGGGUUCUGAGAGGAAGGUCCCCCACAUUGGAACUGAAACACGGUCCAAACUCCUACGGGAGGCAGCAGUGAGGAAUAUUGGUCAAUGGACGCAAGUCUGAACCAGCCAUGUCGCGUGAAGGAUGACUGUCCUAUGGAUUGUAAACUUCUUUUAUAUAGGGAUAAAGUGUGAGACUUGUCUCAUUUUGCAUGUACCAUAUGAAUAAGCAUCGGCUAACUCCGUGCCAGCAGCCGCCGUAAUAC
rnacentral:rRNA from 1 species